UUUUUUGAAAAUUUUCUCUCUUUCUUUAGUUGUUGAAAAUUAACCGAGCUAUCAAUUCACACUAUUUUUUUGUCAGAAACAUCUUUUGAGAUCUAUAUCAUUUAAUACACUUACCUACAACUUUUUUCAAAUUGCCAAGAAAAUAAUAUAUUACACCUCUCUUCAAAGAUUCAUUUACUCUGUCAUUUGUGUUUCUCUCUCAUCACUAUCACUUGUGUUUUUCUGUGUUCUCUCUUCACUAUCCAUUUCUUGUAUUUUUUUUUGUUCUCUCUUUUGCAGCAUUCCAAACAUUUUAUGAAAAAUAUUGUCUUUUAAGAUGCAAACUUUAUUAUAUUCCUAUUUUGAAGAUUAUUUUUAUUAUUUUUUUUCAUUAAUAUUUAUUUUGUAAUUUUUGCAGAUCUAUAAUGAGGUGGAACAUAAAUUUCCAGAUCUGAAAUUAGACCAUAUUUGUGGGUUUCCGAUAGUGUGCUGUUUUGCGGUGGUAAAUUUGUGGUGACGACAACAAGUUUCUGCGGCGAUUUGUCUGUAGUGGAGUGUCCUCACCUUCUAAGGGGUCAAAUCCCUAACAUUUAAAGUCUCUUUUGCAUUAAGUUUUGCAUUAAGAAGAAGUUGAAAAGAGGGAAAGAGAUAAGAAAGAAGAUGAAAAGAGAUAAAUAGAUGAGAUAUAUAGAGAAUUGUAGUAUUGAUCAAAUAUUUUUGUUUUAUUUUCGAUUUUAAAUAAUUUUUGCCCAAUUCUCUUUUUAAAUUUAUUGUGAUUUUAUUAUUCAAA